GGUGAGCUGAAUCAGAGCAGGCUGUGAUGGGUAGCUCUGGGCUCUUCUGGGGCUCUCAAAUCUCCUUCUUUCUUUCUUUCUUUGGCUCUGCAGAUUCCUGCACCCAAGGAUGGCAGGUAUGUGCCCUGGUUUUCCUUCUCAGGCUUGAAGCUCUGUCUGUCUUUAGCCUUUCCUUUUUCCUCACUUCUAGACAUGCUGAAUACCCCUUUUUAACCCUUUCAGGUGGAGGAGAUCUACAAGAAUCAUGCUGAUAUUGGUCCUUACCACAAAGAGACAGUGAUCACUGCCUUCAGUGAAGGCAGUGUCAUUGCCUACUACUGGUCAGAAUUCCUUGUGCCCAAGUACCGGGAAGAGAGCCUGGACAGGGCGAUGGCUGACAAGCAGAGCCUGGUGCAGAGGUGGAACCCCCGCCUGAGAAACCCCAUGCUGAAGGUGGAGUCAGUCAUCGCUUUCCCUGUGGACCCCAGCAUAGCUCACUCUGCCCGGGACAGUAAGUACAGUU